GCGUAAAGCGUGCGCAGGCGGUCCGCUAAGACAGAUGUGAAAUCCCCGGGCUUAACCUGGGAACUGCAUUUGUGACUGGCGGGCUAGAGUAUGGCAGAGGGGGGUAGAAUUCCACGUGUAGCAGUGAAAUACGUAGAGAUGUGGAGGAAUACCGAUGGCGAAGGCAGCCCCCUGGGCCAAUACUGACGCUCAUGCACGAAAGCGUGGGGAGCAAACAGGAUUAGAUACCCUGGUAGUCCACGCCCUAAACGAUGUCAACUAGUUGUCGGGUCUUCAUUGACUUGGUAACGUAGCUAACGCGUGAAGUUGACCGCCUGGGGAGUACGGUCGCAAGAUUAAAACUCAAAGGAGUUGACGGGGACCCGCACAAGCGGUGGAUGAUGUGGAUUAAUUCGAUGCAACGCGAAAAACCUUACCUACCCUUGACAUGUAUGGAAUCCUGCUGAGGGGUGGGAGUGCCCGAAAGGGAGCCAUAACACAGGUGCUGCAUGGCUGUCGUCAGCUCGUGCCGUGAGAUGUUGGGUUAAGUCCCGCAACGAGCGCAACCCUUGUCCCUAGUUGCUACGCAAGAGCACUCUAGGGAGACUGCCGGUGACAAACCNGGAGGAAGGUGGGGAUGACGUCAAGUCCUCAUGGCCCUUAUGGGUAGGGCUUCACACGUCAUACAAUGGUCGGAACAGAGGGUCGCCAACCCGCGAGGGGGAGCCAAUCCCAGAAAACCGAUCGUAGUCCGGAUCGCACUCUGCAACUCGAGUGCGUGAAGCUGGAAUCGCUAGUAA
rnacentral:rRNA from 1 species